rnacentral:rRNA from 1 species
GACGAACGCUGGCGGCGUGCCUAAUACAUGCAAGUCGAACGCAGUGGGGACGGGUGAGUAACACGUGGGUAACCUCCCCUCAGGGGGGGUAACCCUUGGCAACAGGUGCUCAACCGAUACUGCUGGAUGGACCCGCGGUGCAUUAGCUAGUUGGUGAGGGAACGGCUCACCAAGGCCACGAUGCAUAGCCGGCCUGAGAGGGUGAUCGGCCACACGGGAACUGAGACACGGCCCAGACUCCUACGGGAGGCAGCAGUAGGGAAUCUUCGGCAAUGGACGAAAGUCUGACCGAGCAAUGCCGCGUGUGUGAAGAAGGUUUUCGGAUCGUAAAACUCUGUAAUUAGGGAAGCGGUAUCUAACCAGAAAGCCACGGCUAACUACGUGCCAGCAGCCGCGGUAAUAC